rnacentral:sRNA from 1 species
CUGAUUACUUUUUAAACAGAGACGCGAUCAAGUACAUAACAAAAGAUAAAAAAUUUCACGCACCUUGCACUCGACACGUUUACUUACUAAAAGUAAUGCGUACUAUAUAACCCAGCCGAUUUCCCGUAAGGGAGA